UACGUAGGGUGCAAGCGUUAAUCGGAAUUACUAGGGCGUAAGCGUGCGCAGGCGGUGAUGUAAGACAGUUGUGAAAUCCCGGCUCAACCUGGGAACUGCAUCUGUGACUGCAUCGCUGGAGUGCGGCAGAGGGGGAUGGAAUUCCGCGUGUAGCAGUGAAAUGCGUAGAUAUGCGGAGGAACACGAUGGCGAAGGCAACUCC
rnacentral:rRNA from 1 species